GCCUUGAUCAGUGGGUUAAGGAUCCAGUGGUGCCGUGAGCUCUGGCAUAGGUCACAGAUGCAGCUCAGAUCUGGUGUUACUGCGGCUGUGGUGUAGGCUGGCAGCUGCAACUCCAAUUUGACCUCUCGCCUGGCAACUUCCAUACAUCACAGGUAUGGCCAUAAAAAGCAAAAAAAAAAAGAAAGAAAGAAAAGAAAAUCUCCUUCUGAAUUAUCAACAAUAAUAUGUGUUACUCAAAAUGUGGAACCACUUUGACUUUUCCUUUUUUUUUUUUCUUGGCUGCACCCACGGCAUGCAGAAGUUGCCAGGCCAGAGUUCGAACAGCAGUGGCAAUGCUGGAUCUUUAAGCCUCUAGGCCACCAGGAAACUCCUGAUGCUUCAUUGGGUAACACUGGGCUGGAUAUGCGAACCCACCUUUUCAAACACCAUUCUGGCAUUGAAGACCAGUGGGAAGUUGGCUGGGACACAUUGUGUCUUUUUGUACUGGCCGAACACACAGAUGCUAAGAUAGAUGUCCUCCUUGUCUUUCAGCACCACUCCUGGGCAAGUUACCUGGAAGAUAUUAGACAGACGGACGUGACUGCUUCAUGAAUUCCCCGAACGAGCCUACUAAAAUAACGUACCAAACAUUGCAUAAAAACACUAGUCUGCUAAUAAAAAUAUGCACAAGUAAAAAAAAAAAAAAAAAGAGAGAGAGAGAGAGAGAGAGAUUCUAAUGUUUACAGAGUUAAAAGAAAUGCCUUUAUAACUUCCAUCCCUCUGAGAAAUCUAUGAUUUUCCACUUGGUUAUUUGUGCCACAUUUUGAACACUACGUACUGGCUCCUGGGACAGACACUAACAGUUUUUUAAACAGUCAGCCUUAGGCUCCCACUGUAUGUAGAAUGCUGACAUAAACUUAUUCAGCAUCAUUUAAUCACAAAGGAUUAAGACUCAGCAGAAAUAAAACACUACACUAGAGGACAAAAAAAAAAAAAAUCCAGAAAAGCACAAAGACCUGUUUCAACCUAAAUAGCAGCCCACACACAUCCUCAUGAUGGGAAGAAAAAAAAAUACAUAUAUAUAUAUAUGACAAACUUUCAAAGCAAGUGAAUUGCAAGUUUCAAGCCCAAUAAGUAUUUUUAAUAUAAAACUGCACUUAACUAUUCUCAUGACUGACACAAAGUAUAGGUAUAAAAUGUGGGUUUUCUAAGAAAUACAUAGCACAGUCUCUCCAGUUCCGCCGUAUUUCAUUAACAGUGAUCAAUCAUACCCUGACUAGGAUAUGAAAGAUUCUCUAUCAUUUGAAUCCAACCUAUCACAGAGCAAAUAUGACUCAACACCUCCUAAAAAUACAAGCAAAGCAUAUUUGUUAUUGUUUUCUAAACACACACGUUGCUUUCUUGCCUCACAUUCUUCCACUCUCUUAUUACUACUCAGUACUAUUCCAGUCCGUCUCUCCUCAUCUCCUUCCACCACUUCCCAAGGCUUACAUUAGCUGCCACCCCAUAUAUAAAACUUCCCAUGACUGGAGUUCCCGUCGUGGCUCAACGGCUAACGAACCUGACUAGUAUCCAUGAGGAUGCAGGUUCAAUCCCUGGUCUUGCUCAGUGGGUUAAGGAUCUGGUGUUGCCAUGAACUGUGGUGCAGGUCGCAGACGUGGCUCAGAUCUCGAGUUGCUGUGGCUGUGGUGUAGGCCGGCAGCUACAGCUCCGACUCAACCUCUGCCCUGAGAACCUCCAUAUGCCACAGGUGUGGCACUAAAAAGACAAAAACAAAACAAAACAAAACAAAAGUAAUUUACCAGCUAUCACUAUUCAAUUCAAUCUACUUUAAACAUUUACUGUGAAUUUAUUAUAGUCAAGUAAAUAGGUUUUAGAUUCUCAUGGCAUUUUAUAGUUCUCUUCAGGCCCUAAUUAUUUUCUCCAUGCAUUUUAAUUAAGUGGGUACAUCUCACCUCUUUUAUGAUUAUAAAUUCCCUGAGAAUAGAAAUUCUAAUUUCCUCAUCAAUGUACCCAAAACACAAACUUGAAGUAUUAAGAAGCAGCUUAGAAAUUAUCUGGUACAGCUUCAGAUUAUUUAUAUAGGAAAAUAAAAGUAAAGGUGAUUUGCCUACUUAAAGUCACCCAAUAAAUGAGUCAAUACAAUACAUUCAAAGUGCUUGGAACGGUGCCUGACAGUGCAUUCGAUGAAUACUAGCUAUAGUUAUUAUUAGACUAAAAACCACUAUCAUCUCCCAUCUUCAUAUAGACUACUGCACUGAACGCACACUAAAACUUCAUGUCCCUUUGUACGCAGCAGUCAGGAUCAUUUUCCAUGCCAGCUAUUCGGACUCCAUUUACCGCUUUCUUAUUCUACUUUCUAUUUGUGUCCCAACAUAUUCACUAUUUGUAAAGUCAAAGUCUUCAGUAAAUUUCAUUCUACCCAUCCGCUUCAUUUUCUACUCUGAUUCAUGAAAACCAAACCUGGUAGAGUCCCUCUAAAUCCACAUUAUGCCUACAGAUGUGACUGGUCCAAAUCGAGAGAGACCGUAAGUGUAAAAUACAAGAUUCUGAAGAUUUUUGAAGACUGUUGAAAAAGAUUUUUAAAGACUUUUUACAAAAAAAACUGUGAAAAAGCUCAUUGACAACUUUUAAAUUAAUUACAUGUUGAAAGGAUAGUACUUUGAAAAUACUGAUUUAAAAUUACUGUUAAAAUUAAUUUUAUCACUUUCAAUUUUUUAAUGUAGCUGGUAAAAAUUUUAAACUCCAUCUUUGGCUCAGUUUUGGCUCAAAUUACAUUUCUAUUAUACAUCACAGAUCUAAUUGUCUUCAGUGGCAAUUACUGAGACUCUUUCCAAUUUGUAAAGAAUGUAGGAAGACAUAACAUUUUUUCUCAUCCACAAUUCUACAGCUUCUACCAUUCUUUAAAGGAAUACCAUGGAACAUUUCAAAAAGGCCACAAGAAAAGGGGGAUUAAAGAAAAUCCAAUCGAACAAAUAGAAAAUAAAUAGCAAAGGAGCUGACUUAAACCAGCAUACGGACAAUUACAUGAAUAUAAAUAUCCUAAGUAUUGUAAUCAAAAGAUAGAAAUUAUCAAAUUGGAUAAAAAAGCAAGACAUGAUAUGCUUAUUUGCAAAGAAAAAAUUUUUUAAAGAUUAAGACACAUAUAGAAAAAGUACUUUUAGAAUAGUGGAGUAAAUAUCUCAAAAAUCAGCCCCUCCACAGAGGAUCUGAACAGACAUUUUUCCAAAGAAGAUAUACGUAUAGCCAACGAGCACAUGAAAAGACUUUCCACAUCACUAAGCGUCGGGGGAAAUGCAAGUCAAAACCACAGUGAGGUACUACCUCCAACGUGACAAAAUUGGCUAUUCUCAAAAUGACCAGAAACAAGUGUUGGUGGGGAUGUAGAAAAAGGGACUCCUCAGGCAUUGUUGGCAGGAAUAUAAAUUGGUGCAGCCACUGGGGCAAACAGCAUACUGGAAGUCCCUCACAAAACUAACAGUGGAUCCAACGAUUCCACUUCUAAGUAUUUCUCUGAAGAAAAUGAAGACACUAAUUUGAAAAGAUGUAUGUACCAUGUUCAUUGCAGCCCUAUGUACAAUAGCCAAGGUACGGAAGCGACCUAACUGUCCAAAAAUAGAUGAACGGAUAAAGAAGGUGUGAUACACACUAGAAUAUAACUUGGCCAUAAAAAAAAAAAAAAAAGACAUAUUGCCAUUUUCAACAACAUGGAUGGACGUAAAGGGUACUGCGCCAAGUGAAAUACGUCGGAUAGAAAAAGACAAAAACAUAAAAUUUAAUAUGUGAAAUCUAAAAACAAAUGAACAAACAAAAUAGAAACAGACUCACAGAUACGAAGAACAAACUGGGAGUUGCAGGGGUGGGUUGCAGGAUUCAGACAAAGUGGAUAAAGGGCUCUAAGAGGUACAAACCUCCAGCUAUUAGGUAAAUAAGAAAUGGAAUUAAUAUACAACAUCGAGAAUAUAUUCAAUAAUAUUGUAAUAAUUCCGUGUGGAGACAGAUAGUAACUAGACUUCUCAUUAUGAAACAUUUUAUAAUGUAUAAAUAUAUGGAAUCCCUAUGUUGUACACCAGAAACCAAUAUAACACUGGAUGUCAAUUAUAAUUCUAUAAAAAAAAUUGUUGUGACAAACGGUGAAUAAUGAAUAAGAUUCCUAAAUAGGACAUUAUUGCCAUACAAAUGCUUAAUUUAUUGUGUGGGGGAACUGCAUUAUAAUUUAUGCAGCAGAAUGUUCCUAGGAGUUUUAUACUGAAAUAUUUAGUGUCUGAAUGUAAAUAAUUUACUUUCAAAUAAUUCAUCAAGGAGUUCCCUUCAUGGCUCAGUGGAAACGAACCCGACCAGCAACUAUGAGGUUGCGGGUUUGAUCCCUGGCUUCGCUCAGUGGGUUAAGGAUCUGGCAUUGCCGUGAGCUGUGAUGUAGGUCACAGACAUGGCUCAGAUCCUACGUUGCUGUGGCUCUGGUACAGGCCAGCAGCUACAGCUCCAAUUCGACCCCUAGCCUGGGAACCUCUAUACGCCGUGAGUGCAGCCCUAAAAAGCAAAACCAAAACAACAACAACAAAUAAUUCAUCGAUACAUUUGUAUGUUUAUAUCUAUACUUAUAGAGAUAAAUCAGAUGUGAAACAAGCAAAAAAAUCAGCCCAUCUGUAAAGGCAAUGAGAAUAUUACCAAAGAUGUCAAAAUCAACCUUUUAGAGCUCUGGAAAUUAACCAGAAGUUUGCAGCAAUCUAAAGAGCACUUUUUCAAGAAAAAAAGCUGAAUUUUGGUAAAAACAAUGAUAUUGCGUUUAAUAUACUUUAUUCCCCAAAUCCUCCACUCAGGUCUGCUAGAGCCUUGAAAACCAAAACACUUAUAAUCAUGGUAGCCAUGAAAACUAGUAGCCUCACAGCCACAAUAGGAAAUCAGGUUUAGAGCUACCUAAAAGCCCCAUCCCCAGGGAACUGUCAUUAUCUGACCUGUCUGACAAUACCCUAGAAACCCCCUUUCGCAGGGCUUCUCUUUAUUUGUCUUGAAUCCCUGCUUAGUCACAACAAACAUCCUUCACCUGAAAGGUGUUUGUCAAAAACAAUAAGCAGCUCUUGUUUAACAACACGGAUGCAUGAGGCAGUGAUCACAAUUACAGCAAACAAUGAGUGAACAAAAUACUUAAAAGGCAAAGCUGGAGAAUCUGAAUCGUGUGUGUGUGUGUGUGUGUGUGUGUGUGUGUUGGGGGGGAGCUGUCUUUGACAAGUUAUGAUAUAUUCUUGGCAAUUUAGAAGGUCAUGCACUCACACAAGGCUAUGCACAUGCCCAGAGAGAAACCCUGAUCUCUCACCUCUGGCUGAUCUUGAAGCUUAGAAAAUGCUGGAAGUGGGGAGUUCCCACUGUGGCUCAGCAGGUUGCGAACCCGACUAGUAUACAUGAGGACAGGGGUUCAAUCCCUGGCCUCAAUCAGUGGGUUAAGGAUCCGGCAUUGUCAUGAGCUGUAGUGUAGACCACAGACACAGCUCAGAUAGUGUUGCUGUGACUGUGGUGUAGGCUGGCAGCUGCAGCUCUGGUUCAACCCCUAGCCUGGGAACUUCCAUGUGCCAUGGGUGCAAGCCUCAAAAAAAAAAUGCUGGCAGUAAAGACUAAGACAGAUUAUAAACUCCCUUCAGGGCAUGGAAAGCCUUUCCCAACAUGCAACAGAGAUACUUGGCAAAAGCAGGGGGACUCACUGGUUCAAGGCAUUUAAGGAAAUACAAGUCUAGUCAUUAGAGGGCCAUGAAGCUAACUGAGCAGAGACUUCAGUGGCCACACACAACAAAGACAGACUUUACAGAAUACAGACCUCAGCUCAAGAAAGUGACUAAACCAAUGAAAAGCAGCAACAACAACAGAAAACAAAACAAAACAA
rnacentral:lncRNA from 1 species